AGGGGAGAUUGAGCUGAGCUCUUAGGCAGAAGCUCUUCCCUGGGAGGGUGCUGAGGCGCUGGCACAGGGUGCCCAGAGAAGCUGUGGCUGCCCCAUCCCUGGCAGUGCUCAAGGCCAGGUUGGACACAGGGGCUUGGAGCAGCUGCUCUAGUGGAAGGGGUCCCUGCCUGUGGCAGGGGUUGGAGCUGGAGGAGCUCUGAGGUCCCUUCCCAACCCAGUCUGGGAUUCCAUGAUUUGUGUUAAUACGGAGUUAAUUCUCUGGUUCAGGUGAAUGAUUUUUGCACUGCAUCCAGGAACAUCUCAGCCCCAGCUGGGUACAUGUGAGGAGCAGAUGCUGCUGCUCGCUCUGCUCCGCUUCUCCCAGCAGCGGCUCCGUCUCCCCGGUGAAGCUCCCGUGUCCGCGCUGCCAGGUACCGCUGCCGUUAUCCACAGCGACGUGCAGCACACCCACAGGCAGCCCGUGCUGCCGGCAGUUUACUCCUCUGGAGGAGCUCCCUGGUUACCAUCACACGGAGCAUCUCCUCCUCCCCACUGCCCGUGAGCACCCAGGCGAGCUCUAAUCCCCGCAGACCGCCGGAGCCGAGCAGAGCAGCAGGCACAAGUUCCCUUGUUUGGCUGACUUGGUCAGCUGGGACAUGGAGAGGGCAUCGGAAUCUUACCCAUCACUCAACACCACACUGGCAUCAUGCAUUUGACAAUGGCUUCAAGCAGAUAAAACUCACCUUCCACCAGCAGCUGAAUGCCUCUGCUGGAGAUGCUCCUGAGGUGACCAUCCAGAUCUGUCGAGAUUUGGGAUGGGCAAAUGGCUGCAAAAGAAACCUUCAUCUGGGGGCUCCAGGUGUUGGCACAAAGGUUUUCUGUGAAGAACUUUUGAUCUGCACUCAUUCUGAACAGGAAGAUAUGGCUGAGGUUUAUAAGGAGCUGCAUUUCUAGGGGUUACACAUGCAUCACAAUCUAGAAGGUAAAUAAAGGUCAAGGGCACACUGGCUUUGGUGACUUUAU
rnacentral:lncRNA from 1 species